GCCACUACAGGAAGUAUAUGGAGGAAGCAUUGCCUAGCCCAGAGCUUUGGUAUAGAAUUGAGUUGUCAGAGACAAGUCUUGAGCAAGAGCAUAUCCUCUUUCUGUUUUGUACUGGAUGUCUUCAUCCUUGACAGGGGUUCCGGGUUGCAGUCUGGUCUAUCCCAUGGGUGUGUCCUGCUGUGCAGACUGUAUCACCAGUUCUGUUUGCUGUUUAUGUGGAGAUCUGGCAUGAGACUCUGCCAUGGGCCUUAGAGCUGCUCUUCUUGGACUUGGGUUUUUAAUGGCACAGAAGAUUUGGGCACAAUAUGGGCAACCACCCCAGCCUUCCAUCUGGGCAGUUCCAGGAUCUGUGAUUUCCACAGGCAGUGCUGUGACCAUCUUCUGCAGGACUCUUCCAGGAGUGACUAUUGUGCGUCUAAUCAAUGAUAAAGUGUAUUUUGAUUGUACCAUAC